rnacentral:rRNA from 1 species
UGGACAACCGAGGAAACUCGGGCUAAUACCAAAUGUGCUCCUGGCCAUAAAUGGCCUUGAGGAAAGGAAAGGCUUCGGCCUCCGCAUCGGGAUGGGCCCGCGGCCCAUUAGCUAGUUGGUGGGGUAAUGGCCUACCAAGGCGACGAUGGGUAGCUGGUCUGAGAGGACGAUCAGCCACACUGGGACUGAGACACGGCCCAG